GGACGAACGCUGGCGGCGUGCUUAACACAUGCAAGUCGAACGAGGUCCACCCAGUGGCAACACUGGUGAAGACCUAGUGGCGAACGGGUGAGUAACACGUGAGGAACCUGCCCCGAAGUCCGGGAUAAGCCCCCGAAAGGGGGUCUAAUACCGGAUGUCCUCGACCGAUCGCAUGUUUGGUCGAGGAAAGGAUUUCGCUUCGGGAGGGCCUCGCGGCCUAUCAGCUUGUUGGUGAGGUAACGGCUCACCAAGGCGACGACGGGUAGCUGGUCUGAGAGGACGAUCAGCCACACUGGGACUGAGACACGGCCCAGACU
rnacentral:rRNA from 1 species